rnacentral:pre_miRNA from 1 species
UAUAUACUCCCUCCGUUCCGAAAUACUUGUCGGGAAAUGCAUAAAAAUGAAUGUAUCUAUAACUAAAAUACGUCUAGAUACAUCCAUUCCUCCGACAAGUAUUUUCGGACGGAGGGAGUAUAAA